UUCGCCCUUAGAGUUUGAUUCUGGCUCAGGACGAACGCUGGCGGCGUGCCUAACACAUGCAAGUCGAGCGAAUGAAGUUCCUUCGGGAACGGAUUUAGCGGCGGACGGGUGAGUAACACGUGGGCAACCUGCCUCAUAGAGGGGAAUAGCCUUCCGAAAGGGAGAUUAAUACCGCAUAAGAUUGUAGUACCGCAUGGUACAGCAAUUAAAGGAGCAAUCCGCUAUGAGAUGGGCCCGCGGCGCAUUAGCUAGUUGGUGAGGUAACGGCUCACCAAGGCGACGAUGCGUAGCCGACCUGAGAGGGUGAUCGGCCACAUUGGGACUGAGACACGGCCCAGACUCCUACGGGAGGCAGCAGUGGGGAAUAUUGCACAAUGGGGGAAACCCUGAUGCAGCAACGCCGCGUGAGUGAUGACGGCCUUCGGGUUGUAAAGCUCUGUCUUCAGGGACGAUAAUGACGGUACCUGAGGAGGAAGCCACGGCUAACUACGUGCCAGCAGCCGCGGUAAUACGUAGGUGGCGAGCGUUGUCCGGAUUUACUGGGCGUAAAGGGAGCGUAGGCGGAUUUUUAAGUGAGAUGUGAAAUACUCGGGCUUAACCUGAGUGCUGCAUUUCAAACUGGAAGUCUAGAGUGCAGGAGAGGAGAAGGGAAUUCCUAGUGUAGCGGUGAAAUGCGUAGAGAUUAGGAAGAACACCAGUGGCGAAGGCGCUUCUCUGGACUGUAACUGACGCUGAGGCUCGAAAGCGUGGGGAGCAAACAAAAUUAGAUACCCUGGUAGUCCACGCCGUAAACGAUGAAUACUAGGUGUAGGGGUUGUCAUGACCUCUGUGCCGCCGCUAACGCACUAAGUAUUCCGCCUGGGGAGUACGGUCGCAAGAUUAAAACUCAAAGGAAAAGACGGGGGCCCGCACAAGCAGCGGAGCAUGUGGUUUAAUUCGAAGCAACGCGAAGAACCUUACCAAGGCUUGACAUCCCCCUGACCAGUGCAGAGAGGUACUCUCUUUUUCUGAAGCAAGGGAGACAGGUGGUGCAUGGUUGUCGUCAGCUCGUGUCGUGAGAUGUUGGGUUAAGUCCCGCAACGAGCGCAACCCUUAUCCUUAGUUGCCAGCAUUAAAGGUGGGCACUCUAAGGAGACUGCCGGUGAUAAACCGGAGGAAGGUGGGGAGGACGUCAAAUCAUCAUGCCCCCCAUGUCUUGGGCUACACACGUGCUACAAUGGUCGGUACAGCGAGCAGCUACACAGCGAUGUCACGCGAAUCUCAAAAAGGCGAUCUCAGUUCGGAUUGUACUCUGCAACUCGAGUACAUGAAGUCGGAGUUGCUAGUAAUCGCAAAUCAGAAUGUUGC
rnacentral:rRNA from 1 species